UACAGAGGUCCCAAGCGUUGUUCGGAUUCACUGGGCGUAAAGGGCGCGUAGGUGGUAGGGUAAGUCGGAUGUGAAAUCUCCGAGCUCAACUCGGAAAUGGCAUUGGAAACUACCCUGCUAGAGGGUCGGAGGGGGGACUGGAAUACUUGGUGUAGCAGUGAAAUGCGUAGAUAUCAAGUGGAACACCAGUGGCGAAGGCGAGUCCCUGGACGACUCCUGACACUGAGGCACGAAAGCUAGGGGAGCAAACAGG
rnacentral:rRNA from 1 species